CUAGUCUUAUCGGUGGA
rnacentral:rRNA from 1 species